UCCCAGGCAAGUUCUUCUCUCUCCACAGGUUGCCGGUACCGAGUCCGUGCCGCUUCCAGCACCCCUCCGAGCUGGAGCAGAGCCCGCCCGUACCCGGCUCCCCUCAGGGGUGAGCUGCAAGCCCGAUGCCACUCAGGACCAGCCCAGCGUGGGUGCGGGACCUGCGCGUUUUCCACGCGUAGAAACAUGGAAAACCACACGUUUCGGCACCAAUCCGGGUAUCCCCGCUAUGUGGCGAGCCGGAGGGUGUGGGAAGAGGGAGCCCUGCUCUGCCAUGGUGCUGGGAACCGGCAAUCCGGAGCCGCCGAGAAACCCGAAAUCGAUCUAAACGCAGAAAAAUAACUUGCGGAAACUUGUUUUCUUGGGGAGCAACUCUGCUGCUCUGUUCGGGAUGUCGCCUCUCCCAGUAAACAUGCUUCUCAAAGAUAAAUAACGUGAAGAAAAGGCCAGACGUGCUCCGAAAAGGCAAAUGCAAUGUAUUUUCAUCCUCCUGGGGGUAAUUAGUUUUAUACAGCAUUUGCCAUUCAAAUCCAAAUCCCUGGAAUGCCGCAUCCUUAGCAGCCCGUUCUAGCUCUACUGCUGGAUCCAGCCUCCUCACAAAGGACACAAUAAAAGCUAUAAAUAUACAUCCCUCCUUCAUUAAUCAUAUGGAGUGUACCCUGAUAUUUUUUCCAUCUCAGCUUGUUACCCACUAAAUUAUCUUUUUACAACGCACGGUGUCCUUGCUCAUUUUAUUCUUGACUAAUUGAAUCGUCUCUUUCAGGACAUAAAUUACAUGGGACCGGGGCUGGAGGUAACCAGGAGAGAACCAGACCCCCGAGGCAGGCGAAACAGGGUACACCCCCUGCAAAACACGUUGCAAAACAUUUUAAAACGACUUUUAAAUAAUUUGUUCCAAAAACCACAGGCUUUUACGCUGGUCGUGAGACUCCUAUUAAGGAAAGUUUCCCUUGAUAACCUCGGUGUGUGUGGCAAGGGUGUCCUUCUUGUUGCAGGCGUCUCUAUAUUCCCGUGAAAUUCUUCUUGAUCCAGCGGGAUUUGCAGAUUUGUUUAUGGAGAGGGUUUUCUGCGAGGCAGACGCUGGCAGAGCGCGCGGUGCCCCAAACGCAGGUGUGGAUUUUGCCGUACAGGGAUGCAGGGAUGCGCACAGCGAAUUAAACGCUGACGUGACUGCGAAGCACCGGCUCGUACAGGGAUUUUCUAGGCUGGAAAUGCAAGUGGUCACUUUGUCAGAGGUGCUCCCUCAAACCUCGCUAUGAAAACCUUCCUGAAAGUCCUGCUGGUUCUCGGCAGGGGCUUCCUGGCGCUUCCAUUCCCCGGCAGCUCUGUCCUCAUCACAGCCCAGGGCUGUGGGAUCAGAGCUGGACCUGCAGCUCCAGUUCCUGGAUGCUCUGGACCGUGCCAUGUCUGCAGGACGCGAGGUGACACGGAAUCGUUACACCAAUUUAUUGUUAUCCGGAGAAUUUUCCGUUACCGGGCAUCCUCUGGCAGCCGGCAAAGGCAGUUUGGGAUAAAAGGGGCUGCAGCACAAAUAAAGACGUGGCUCGUUAAGUUCAAGACUUAGAGCUAUGAGAUACCUUCAGUUUAACCUGCUGUGCUGCCUCCCUUGUGUGAGGCAUCGGCUCCAUCCAUGGACAGCUUCUGGCAACACGGCCUGUCCGGUUAUUCCCAAUCUCCAUCCUGAUUGCAGCACCAGUGCCCAGCAAGGUGUGCUUUCAUCCUUCAAGAGGGGCUAGAUUUUUUUUUUUUUUCAUUUAUUUUUCACAUUUAUUGGUCACAGAUGUGGUUUUGCAAAUGGCUCUGAGGUUAAAAGUCAUCCUCUGGACUUUGCCGAGCAAAUUCUAUGUUAGCAGGUCAUAUGCCAGAAACCCUCCAAGCCCAGCAUGUAAUUCUGCCAUUCCUGAGGUCAACAGCAGUUCCAGCUCCUCACUGGAAUCAGGGAGGGUCAUAAAUGGGGGCAGACCUUCCAAACACUGAGGUGAAUUCCCUGGGAUGGCUGAGAGAAAGGUGGAGCUCCUGGAGUCUCAGGUUGACAGAGUCUGAAACAAACAGGGCAGUUGUUGUAAGAUGCAUUUAAAGGCUGCUGAGGUCUAAUCCAAUGUUUGUUUAUUUAGGGUUUUCAGAGGUAGAUGGAGGGAACCUAGAAUCCAAAAAGCAAGGUUUACUGGGUUUCAAUGCACAAUUUAAAAGAAAAGGGUAAUGCAUUUGUAAUCAGGAAGUGCAUAAUGAUGUGGGCUGUGGGUCUCUGGGCAUCCAGAAGAGAGAAAUGCAGGUAACCCCCAAGGGGAAAGCCUGAUGUUAUUGCAGUCAGCGGGAUUUUUGCCAUCCAUGUCAGUAGAGUGAGCUUUCAUCCCUGGAAGGCUGUCAUGGGAUGACACCGUGUCACAGGCACUCCCAGCUUUCUCAGUGACUGUGUUUUCCUGUUUGGGUGGUUGUCAUUAGUCAGUGCUCUCAGAUGAGAUCAUUCCUGGGGACACACUGACCACUGAGUCUCUGUUCUUCUUCCCCACUGUCCGUGCCCUCACUUUUCCAGUGUCCCACUUCUCCCUGAGCUACAGCAGCUCAUCCUUGGACUGAAAGACUCUGCACACCCAGUAAGAGUGGAGACAGAUGGUCCAUGCCCUCUUGUGCAAACAGGAUCAGUCUCCUCUGCAUCUUAAAAACCGCAUAAGCCAGGCGAGGAUUCCAGGUGGUGUUUAUCCCAAAGCACUUCCAACAAUCCCACAAGAAUGUUAAUUACUGACACCAACAGUCUUGUUCUCAUUCAUAUAAUGGGAGUGCCUGAAGGUCUUACCUGAGGUUGUGUCAGACACCGUAGGAUCGCGCAGGAAAAGCACAGAGGGGUUUUAGUCCAGGUUGUCCUGAC